rnacentral:tRNA from 1 species
GAGCCCGUUGCUCAAUGGUAGAGCGUUCGACUCAAAUACCAAAGGUCGCGGGUUC